AUUGAACGCUGGCGGCAGGCCUAACACAUGCAAGUCGACCGAGUGGCGGACGGGUGAGUAAUGUCUGGGAAUCUGCCUUAUGGAGGGGGAUAACUACUGGAAACUGUCGCUAAUACCGCGUACCAUCAGAUGAGCCCAGGUGGGAUUAGGUUGUUGGUGGGGUAAUGGCUCACCAAGGCGACGAUCCCUAGCUGGUCUGAGAGGAGGACCAGCCACACUGGAACUGAGACACGGCCCAGACUCCUACGGGAGGCAGCAGUGGGGAAUAUUGCGCAAUGGGCGCAAGCCGGAUGCAGCCAUGCCGCGUGGAUGAAGAAGGCCUUCGGGUUGUAAAGUACUUUCAGCGGGGAGGCGUUACUCGCAGAAGAAGCACCGGCUAACUCCGUGCCAGCAGCCGCGGUAAUAC
rnacentral:rRNA from 1 species